GGAAGUCGAAAUUCCGCUGGUGUACGGGAAGCCGGUGAAAGUCCGGCACAGCCCCGCUACUGUAAGCGCGGAGGGCCGAUCGAAAGCGCCACUGUUCCGGCGACGGGAUGGGAAGGCCGAUCGGUUCGAAGAUGCGCAAGUCAGGAGACCGGCCGGCGUGAUUCGUUCAGCU
rnacentral:ncRNA from 1 species